GAAGACCCGGCGCUGGGGGCGCUGAGCCCCGGCCGCGCUUCCGGAGCCCGGCGGGCGGCGUCAGCGGAACAGGCGGUUCUGGCCGCGGCGUAAACAAGAGCCGGCGGCGGCGAGAGGCGAGCUGGAGGCGGGGCGGGCAGGCUGGAAGCUAGUCCUGGCCCCAAGUGGACCCCCUUUCGGCCGUGCUGCCGCCUCCGCCGCCGCCCCCGGGCCGCGACCCCGCGGCGCAGCCCAGGCGGCGGAGAGGCUGUCCUCGCUGAGGAGGGCUGGGAGGGCGCGGGCGGCGAGCGGGCGGCCAGCGAGCGGCCUUCACGCCGUGCCUGUCGCCGCCGCCUUCUGCUCGCCUCUCGCCGCCGUGCAUUUCUUCCUUUUCCUUUGUCUCUUCCCCCCUCGCUGGUGUGAGGAUUGUUGGUGAACAGAAGUGCAGCCUCAAGAUGGCUGAUGGCAACGAGGAUCUGCGGGCGGACGACUUGCCGGGGCCAGCCUACGAGGGCUACGAGUCCAUGGAGCUCGCCUGCCCGGCCGAGCGCAGCGGCCACGUAGCGGUGGGCGACGGGCGCCACAUGUUCGUCUGGGGCGGCUACAAGAGUAACCAAGUCAGAGGAUUAUAUGACUUUUAUCUGCCUAGAGAAGAACUAUGGAUCUACAACAUGGAGACUGGAAGAUGGAAAAAAAUUAACACGGAAGGAGAUGUUCCUCCUUCCAUGUCAGGAAGCUGUGCUGUGUGUGUAGACAGGGUGCUCUACUUGUUCGGGGGACAUCAUUCAAGAGGCAACACAAAUAAGUUCUACAUGCUGGAUUCAAGGUCUACUGACAGAGUAUUACAGUGGGAAAGGAUUGAUUGCCAAGGAAUUCCUCCAUCAUCAAAGGACAAACUUGGUGUCUGGGUAUAUAAAAACAAGUUAAUAUUUUUUGGAGGUUAUGGAUAUUUACCUGAAGAUAAAGUAUUGGGAACUUUUGAAUUUGAUGAAACAUCUUUUUGGAAUUCAAGCCACCCAAGAGGAUGGAAUGAUCAUGUACAUAUUUUAGACACUGAAACAUUUAUCUGGAGUCAGCCUAUCACUACUGGUAAAGCACCUUCACCUCGUGCUGCCCACGCCUGUGCAACUGUUGGAAACAAAGGCUUUGUGUUUGGAGGCAGAUACCGAGAUGCUAGAAUGAAUGAUCUUCACUAUCUUAAUCUGGACACAUGGGAGUGGAAUGAAUUAAUUCCACAAGGCAUAUGCCCAGUUGGCCGAUCUUGGCACUCACUCACACCAGUUUCUUCAGAUCAUCUCUUUCUUUUUGGAGGAUUUACCACUGAUAAACAGCCGCUGAGUGAUGCCUGGACUUACUGCAUCAGUAAAAAUGAAUGGAUACAGUUUAAUCAUCCCUAUACUGAGAAACCAAGAAUUACCAGGCCUGAUACUUUGCGUAUCUCAGGCAGAUUCAGCAUCCAGGUCGACUGGCCCUGCCAUGAAAAGAAGAAGAUCAAGAGGGCAUAUACCACACAUCUCCCAUAAGGUUUUUAUUGCUAACAAAGACCUAGAGAACAGAUCAUUCAGUUCAAACCCCUCACUGCAUAAAUUAGGACUGGACCAGAGAGCUAAAAUGAUAACAUCCAGAUAAAACAGACAUUGAUUUUUUUCUAGUGUUUGCUACUUAAGAUAAAUUCCUUCUCAACAUGUUUCUGGUCUGUACUAAAGAUCUCUUUAUUUCAUCAUUCUGUUCUGUAGUAUAAAUUGUCAGUUUGGUGUUUGGGUAGCUUCAAAUUCAAGCUUCUGUUUUAAAUAUAGAUUAUGGCAUACAGCUUGUGCCAGCGACGAAGGAGAAGUCAUUGUGUUUGGCGGGUGCGCCAAUAACCUCCUUGUCCAUCACAGAGCUGCACACAGUAAUGAAAUACUUAUAUUUUCAGUUCAACCAAAAUCUCUUGUAAGGCUAAGCUUAGAAGCAGUCAUUUGCUUUAAAGAAAUGUUAGCCAACUCGUGGAACUGCCUUCCGAAACACUUACUUCACAGUAUUAAUCAGAGGUUUGGUAGUAACAACACUUCUGGAUCUUAAGGCUUCAUAGAUAAUGCCUCUGAUCACCUUGCAUGGACAGCAAUUCUGUAAACAUCAGAGAGUGGUGUCAUUUGUAUAAUUAUAUGCAUUGUUGUAGUUUGCAGCUUUUUGGUUUUAAUGUGCAUGUGAAUGGCCUAGAGAACCUAUUUUUGUGUCUAAAGUUUACAAUAAAUGUAUUUAACACCA